GGGGUUGUAGCUCAGUGGUACAGCAUGUGCUUAGCAUGCUUGAGGCCCUGGGUUCAAUUCCCAGCACCUCCA
rnacentral:tRNA from 1 species